rnacentral:rRNA from 1 species
GACGAACGCUGGCGGUGUGCUUAACACAUGCAAGUCGAACGGUAAGGCCCUUUCGGGGGUGCACGAGUGGCGAACGGGUGAGUAACACGUGAGUAACCUGCCCUCAUCUCUGGGAUAACAGUCGGAAACGGUUGCUAAUACUGGAUAUGAGCUUGCAAGGCAUCUUGUGGGUUGGAAAGAUUUUUUUGGUUGGGGAUGGACUCGCGGCCUAUCAGCUUGUUGGUGAGGUAGUGGCUCACCAAGGCUUCGACGGGUAGCCGGCCUGAGAGGGCGACCGGCCACAUUGGGACUGAGAUACGGCCCAAACUCCUACGGGAGGCAGCAGUGGGGAAUAUUGCACAAUGGACGGAAGUCUGAUGCAGCAACGCCGCGGGCGGGAUGACGGCCUUCGGGUUGUAAACCGCUUUCAAUUGUGACGAAGCUUUUUGUGACGGUAGCAGUAGAAGAAGCACCGGCUAACUACGUG